rnacentral:rRNA from 1 species
UACGGAGGGUGCAAGCGUUGUUCGGAAUUAUUGGGCGUAAAGCGCGUGUAGGCGGUCAGGUAAGUCAGAUGUGAAAGCCUUUUGCUUAACAGAAGAAGUGCAUUUGAAACUGCUUGGCUUGAGUACGGGAGAGGAGAGUUGAAUUCCCGGUGUAGAGGUGAAAUUCGUAGAUAUCGGGAGGAACACCAGUGGCGAAAGCGGCUCUCUGGUCCGAUACUGACGCUGAGACGCGAAAGCGUGGGGAG